CGCUUCGAUUCGAAAGUGUGUGAGCCCUAUCUGUCGAAUUCUGGGGCUAGUUAGUGAAUGGCGGUCGUCCUCCCUGGGAUGAGAAAGUAGUACAGAUCUCGGGUUUGGGUUGAGAGCAGAUCGAUCCAGGGUUCGAGGAACAUAUAUCCCAGGGUAUAUAUCCCGAUUGGGGCCGGGAAUCCCUUCUGAACGUCUCGCGAAUGGGCAGUAUUUGGAACUUCACAGCGCAGACAUAUUGGGUAUUUCUCGUUCUGGUUCCUUGAAAGGAUCCAGCAGGACUUGAAUCUUUUUUUGUCUGUCGUGGGUGAUGCUGCUGCUGGUGGGGAUAGAUUCAGAGGCUGAAUCAAACAAAUAUUUGUCUGCUUAAUCACAGCUGUUGGAGCAUUAGUGUAUAGGAGUAUAGUGGUAUAGUAGUGGUACUCACGUCCUACUAAUCGUAUUUGUUACACGAUCUGGCGACGCACCUGAAGCCGGGCCACCUUUGUGUUGGGCCAUCUGGACGACGAAUCCGUGGUGGUGUUCCGGUGUUGCCAAGCGCAGAGGUCCGUCUGGCCACGGGAGAUGAUGCCGGGAUAUUGUCAAGGAUAGAGACUGAGUUAACUAGUUAUAGAUGGG
rnacentral:sRNA from 2 species